rnacentral:rRNA from 1 species
AAGUCUGGUGCCAGCAGCCGCGGUAAUUCCAGCUCCAAUAGCGUAUAUUAAAGUUGUUGCAGUUAAAAAGCUCGUAGUUGAAUUUCGGGGUCAGUAGGUUGGUCGUGCCACCGGUACGUACUGGUCUCACUGAUUCCUCCUUCCUGAUGAGCUGUAAUGCCAUUAAUUUGGUGUUGCAGGGAAUCUGGACUGUUACUUUGAAAAAAUUAGAGUGUUUAAAGCAGGCUAACGCUUGAAUACAUUAGCAUGGAAUAAUGAAAUAGGACGUUCGAUCCUAUUUUGUUGGUUUCUAGGAUUGACGUAAUGAUUAAUAGGGAUAGUUGGGGGCAUUAGUAUUCAAUUGUCAGAGGUGAAAUUCUUGGAUUUAUUGAAGACUAACUACUGCGAAAGCAUUUGCCAAGGAUGUUUUCAUUAAUCAAGAACGAAAGUUAGGGGAUCGAAGACGAUCAGAUACCGUCGUAGUCUUAACCAUAAACUAUGCCGACUAGGGAUCGGAUGAUGUAA